AGCUUUGCACAGUGGCAGUAUCGUAGCCAAUGAGGUUUAUCCGAGGCGCGAUUAUUGCUAAUAGAAAAAUUAAAACUAAAAUG
rnacentral:snRNA from 1 species